AUGUUAAUCCUAACAUGGAGUACAUAUAAAUAUAUUCGAGGGCCCGAGAAAUUAGAGAGUGGGAUAGAGACGUUGGUGCAUAAUGAUUGGAGCCAGGUGGCAUGAUGGUUGUCCUUGUUGUCGAGUUUCUUACCAGUUGUGGGUGGAGAUCAUGGAUCAGUGAUCGGAAAAACCUGAUUGGUUCCACGCCACUUUCCUUUUAUACUUCUUGUCUCCGGCACGAUUGUCCAUCGUGGGAGUUGUCUGGUCAGGUCUUGGCGCAUGCUGAUUGGGCACAACCCUUGCCAUCUAUACUAUUGUACUUGUCUUAGUUGUCACUGCGCUGCAUGCGCCGGUCUGGGCCUACGUAUAUGCUCUUGUCAAGGCUAAUUAUAAUUUUGUUAAGCCUGGGUAUGAUUCUUUGCGCGCAUAUCUUAGAAUGCCUUACACAUAAUUUGAGACCAUACCACCUC
rnacentral:lncRNA from 1 species